rnacentral:rRNA from 1 species
UGGUUCGAUUCUGGCUCAGGAUGAACGCUGGCGGCAUGCCUAAUACAUGCAAGUCGAACGGAGUGAAGCCUUCGGGUUUCAUUCAGUGGCGAACGGGUGAGUAAUACGCAGGGAACCUGGCCAUGGCAGGGGGAUACACUCUGGAAACGGAGCAUAAGACCCCAUAGGCAGUAAGGCGGCAUCGCCUUACUGUUAAAGAAAGCUGAAAGGCUUUGGCGAUGGAUGGACCUGCGGUGCAUUAGCUUGUUGGUGAGGCAACGGCUUACCAAGGCGAUGAUGCAUAGCCGGCCUGAGAGGGCGGACGGCCACACUGGGACUGAGACACGGCCCAGACUCCUGCGGGAGGCAGCAGUAGGGAAUUUUCGUCAAUGGGCGCAAGCCUGAACGAGCAAUGCCGCGUGAGUGAGGAAGGUCUUCGGACUGUAAAGCUCUGUUGCCGGGGAAAAAGGGGAAAUGCAGGAAAUGGCAUUUCAUGGAUGGUACCCGGCCAGAAAGCCACGGCUAACUACGUGCCAGCAGCCGCGGUAAUACGUAGGUGGCGAGCGUUAUCCGGAAUGAUUGGGCGUAAAGGGUGCGCAGGCGGUCUGUUAAGUCUGAAGGCAAAGGGAUGAGCUCAACUCAUUUAUGAUUCAGAAACUGGCAGACUUGAGGACAGGAGAGGGCGGUGGAACUCCAUGUGUAGCGGUAAAAUGCGCAGAGAUAUGGAAGAACACCAGUGGCGAAGGCGGCCGCCUGGCCUGUGACUGACGCUGAGGCACGAAAGCGUGGGGAGCAAAUAGGAUUAGAUACCCUAGUAGUCCACGCCGUAAACGAUGAGGAGCAGGUGUUGGGAGUGAAAUCUCAGUGCCGAAGCCAACGCAGUGACUCCUCCGCCUGGGGAGUAUGCACGCAAGUGUGAAACUCAAAGGAAUUGACGGGGGCCCGCACAAGCGGUGGAGUAUGUGGUUUAAUUCGAAGCAACGCGAAGAACCUUACCAGGUUUUGACAUCGGAUGCGAAGGCGCAGAGAUGCGCUGGAGGCUAUCAUCCAGACAGGUGGUGCAUGGUUGUCGUCAGCUCGUGUCGUGAGAUGUUCAGUUAAGUCUGGCAACGAGCGCAACCCCCGUGGUAUGUUACUAACGCUUAGGGCGAGGACUCAUAUCAGACUGCCGGUGACAAACCGGAGGAAGGCGGGGAUGACGUCAAAUCAUCAUGCCCCUUAUGACCUGGGCUACACACGUACUACAAUGGCGUCUACAGAGGGAAGCGACCCUGAGAAGGGAAGCGAAACCGGAAAAGGGCGUCCCAGUUCGGAUUGAAGUCUGCAACCCGACUUCAUGAAGAUGGAAUCGCUAGUAAUCGCGGAUCAGCAUGCCGCGGUGAAUACGUUCCCGGGCCUUGUACACACCGCCCGUCAAACCAUGGAAGCCGGCAACGCCCGAAGCCGGUGGCAUAACCUUUUAGGAGUGAGCCGUCGAAGGCGGGGCCGAUGACUGGGGUUAAGUCGUAACAAGGUAUCC